GGCUACAUAUCAUAAGUUCUUCUAUUUCUUUCCUUCUUUUCUCUUUAUCUUUCUGUUAACCUUUCCUUCUUUUUUACCCACCCCUUGUACCUUACCCCUUGGGGGAGGAGCGGAAGAGACCUGAAAGUGCGUAUUCCUGCGGGGAGGUCAAGAAUUUACAGCGGCACUUCUGAUUCACAACACAAAACAACUAAGUAAUUGGUGUGGGUCUCGAUGCAACAGAAUGGGUGAGUACAAUGAUAACCCAUAUCCCAAGAUAUGCCUG